CGACUCCACGGACUCAACCUCUCUUAACCUCCUAUGAAUCUCGCGCAAUCCUCCGGGUUGUCCACGCCCUCACGUUCGAAUCCACGAACGCCUCCACUUCGAAUCCACGAAGCUUCAAUCACGCCGAAUCGACGACGCCACGCGAAUCCAUGAGCCCACGAUCCGAAUCCACGAACCGCCUUCGUUCACGCCGAAUCCACGACGCCGU
rnacentral:lncRNA from 1 species